rnacentral:ribozyme from 1 species
GAAAGCCGUAUUUGAUGAAAGUCGUAUAUACGGCUUGGUGAGGGCACCCUAUUUGAAAGCCGUAUUUGAUUUUGGUGAGGGCACCCUAUCUGUGGGAGCCCGCCUAGGCGGCCACUCGAC